UGACCUCUAGAGUCAGCCCAUCAUUAUUUUAUUUUGUAAUUCUCCCUCUUUUUUGUAUAAUGUGGUUUUGGCUUUUAUUUUGAAGUGAUGAAAAGACGCGCUAACCGGAAGUCGCAAGUGAAGCUAACGUGAAGGCUGCAUGUGCUUCGUUUCUGCUUAAAAGGAUUUGAAAACUAAGUUAAAGGUUCAAACAAACGAAAGUGUACCAUAUCCCAUAGCACCUGGUUGAUGAGGGAACAAGCUCUUACGGUGUGUUCACACACACAAGGAUAAUAAAAAAAAAAGGAUUGUGAACCAUCAGUUUGAGAGACCAUCUUUUCGACCGGGGACGCUACACUAUUGUUCAACCAGAACGUUCUCCUCUGCUGUGCAGAACAUCACUAACCACUACCACUCUUAUACUCAGCUCUGUGACCAAAUCACAGUGGACUGUUGGACUCUUUCUGCUGCAGUUUAGGGCAGCUGAACCCCUGAAUGCUCCCAAACUGUCUUCAGUUCAACAACAGCAAAACAGAAGUUCAGCUUUGGAAGACAAAAGAAGAAAGAGAGAAGGUAACUGAGGAGUGGAUUUUUGCAGGACCAAACAAACAGGAAGCUAGAAACCGUUGAUGUCAUAACAAACCUGAGUUAUAAGCUCACCUUAAGACCAAAGCAAAACCAGCCUUCUAGCAUCUCACUCAAAGGUUCAGAACCGGAGAUCUAAUAUUCAAACAAGAGGAAGACACAUUCCACUGCCCCUAAACCUGAAUAACUGUCAAAGAAUCACUGCUCUUUAUGGUGUGGUGCCCGACACUUAUCAGAUCCACUUGUGGUUGAAAAACCGAGCAGAGCUCUGAGAUCUGGUGGAAGUUCUGAGUUAGAAAGUGACUCAGGUGUUAAGCUGCACCAAUGAACUCAAACUGUCUCCUACUUUCUCAAGUUCAGCGAUAAAAUGUUCUUUUCUUCUGCUUUGUUUAAAAUACUGCACACAAUUCCAGUAAAGAUUCUGUUUUCAUG